rnacentral:lncRNA from 1 species
CAUCUAGCAAUGGUACCCGACGACCGGAUAGGUCGAAUGUGUAGAACAACAUCCUUAGAACCCAUGCGGAUAUAGUUUUCAUAUAAUUCAUCCCCUUGACCAAAAUGAUCAUAGGACACCCCAGAGUUCAACUUUCAACUCUGAUCAGGUUGUCCACAUUGUAUUUCAAAAUAUCAAAUCCAUGUGAUGGAUUACCCUGGCCA